rnacentral:rRNA from 1 species
AGCGUAGACGGAUGGGCAAGUCUGAUGUGAAAACCCGGGGCUCAACCCCGGGACUGCAUUGGAAACUGUUCAUCUAGAGUGCUGGAGAGGUAAGUGGAAUUCCUAGUGUAGCGGUGAAAUGCGUAGAUAUUAGGAGGAACACCAGUGGCGAAGGCGCCUUUCUGGACUGUGUCUGACGCUGAGAUGCGAAAGCCAGGGUAGCGAACG